CACCACAGGAGAUUCUCUUGUUUCCUGCUCUGCGCCCAGCAUUUCCCAUGAGCAACCCUUGUAGAAGAAGAUCUUAUAUUUCUGGAGGCAGACAAAUUCAAGACGGGGCAACCACAGCUGGUGAGGGCCUCCUGCUGCGUCACCAUCUGGAAGAUGGCAUCACUCAGCAGGGAUGUGGACAAGAGACGGAGGUCACGUGGCCAGAGAGGACGCGAGAGCCAGAGCUCCGUGAUGCUCCGCUUCCAAUUCAGCUCCUUAGCGCCCCGGGGAAGCAGCAGCAGAUGGCCCAGGUGCUUGGGCCGCUGCCAUCCACGUGGGAGACCCAGAUGGAGUUCGAGGAUCCUAGCUUCAGCCUGGCCCAGCCCCAGAUCUUUAAAAACAAAGAAAGGACAACAGAUUGAGAUGGGACCAGUGCCGCUAGCCCCAGUGCUGCCAGGAAGCCUCAUAAGGAGCAAAGUGCUCACCUGACUCCUGACCAUGGACCUCCUGGGUGACUUUGAGAUCAGCUUCAGAGUGGGGUAGGUCUGGAAGCCGCAGUGGCAUAGGCUGAAGAGUGAAUGGAAGCAAAAUGCAGCUAAUUCUUAGCGAGACAGUUUUGCUACAAAUGGAGACUGUUAACUGGGAGGCACUAAAGCAUGUUUGUAGAUUGGUUUGUAGAACCUGCCUCCCAUCAGGAGGCAGUGAUGGAAGAUUCAUGCACAAGCCCAAGACAGGAUGCUGCAAGGGGAAAGCCCUUCAGCGGGUGAACGUGGGGCUGGGGCAGGUGUAUGAGAUUCCGGUGGCUGCUUCAAACAAUACACAAGCAAUCCUCUUCGAGUUCGGGAGGUCAGAGUCCAGAAGCAGUUCCAGAGGACUCAAGUCAAGCUCUCAGAAGCCGAAGGUCCUCCCCGAGGCUCUGGGGAGAGCCCAUUCCUGGCCCCCGCUCCCUCCUGCCAUCUUCCAAGGUCUCUGCUGGUGUCACGGCACCUCGCCCUCUGUGGUCACAUUUCCCUCUGCCUCUCUCUUACAAGGACACUUGUAACCAAGGGCCCAGAUAACCAAGAAGAAUCUCCCCAU